rnacentral:rRNA from 1 species
CCCUGUAGCUUUUGCGUGGUUUCCCACUGAAGUUAAGCAGCAUUGAGCCUGGCCAGUACCUGGAUCGGAGACAACCUGGGGAAAAGGUUGCUGCUGGAA